rnacentral:rRNA from 1 species
GACGAACGCUGGCGGCGUGCUUAACACAUGCAAGUCGAGGGCACUUGGGCAGCAAUGGGUCAAGUGACCGGCGAACGGGUGCGUAACACGUGAGCGACCUUGCCUCGUGGUGGGGGAUAGCCGGCCCAACGGCCGGGUAAUACCGCAUAGGGUAGUUUCUUCGCAUGGAGAGACUAGCAAAGCCGUGCAGCAAUGCACUGGCGCCACAGGGGGGCGUCNCGGCC